GACCGCGUAGCUCAGUUGGCAGAGCAUUGUGUUAGUAUUACAAAGGUUGUAGGUUCGAUUCCCAUCGUGGUCA
rnacentral:tRNA from 1 species